AGCUACUGAAGCUGCAAGCUUGUUCAUGGGCGUGCAGCGGAGGGAAUGUUAAAACAUGAACUGCACCCGGAGAUGCUCUUGUGGAUACGAUUUCGGACGCGGGUUCGAUUCCCGCCGCCUCCACCA
rnacentral:tmRNA from 1 species